rnacentral:rRNA from 1 species
UACGGGGGGGGCAAGCGUUGUUCGGAAUUACUGGGCGUAAAGGGCGCGUAGGCGGCCUGCUAAGUCGGAUGUGAAAUCCCUCGGCUCAACCGAGGAACUGCAUCCGAUACUGGCGGGCUUGAAUCCGGGAGAGGGAUGUGGAAUUCCAGGUGUAGCGGUGAAAUGCGUAGAGAUCGGGAGGAACACCGGUGGCGAAGGCGGGUCUCUGGGCAAUUCCUGACGCUGAGGCGCGAAAGCGUGGGGAGCAAACGGG